UACAGAGGGUGCGAGCGUUAAUCGGAAUUACUGGGCGUAAAGCGUGCGUAGACGGUUAUGUAAGUUAGGUGUGAAAGCCCCGGGCUCAACCUGGGAAUUGCAUUUAAGACUGCAUAGCUAGGGUGCGGAAGAGGGAAGCGGAAUUUCCGGUGUAGCGGUGAAAUGCGUAGAUAUCGGAAGGAACACCAGUGGCGAAAGCGGCUUCCUGGUCCAGCACCGACGUUCAGGCACGAAAGCGUGGGGAGCGAACAGG
rnacentral:rRNA from 1 species